CCUACCCUGUUCCAGCUGCUUCUGCUUUGCUACAUGGCCAGCCAACCAUGUGGUGGACUGACCACUUUCUCUUGCCAUCAUUCCCAUUUUGUAUAUGUUUUUUAGCUGUUUCCCUUCCCUAUACUUUCUUUUGUAAUUCCCCUUACCUUACACACCUUUUAUUUACUGUUAAAGUUCUCCUUUUAACUUCCAAAUCAGAGCAAGACUAUCCUUUGGGUGUUUUCUACUCCUUUUUACCCUUCUGCCAAAAAAUCUUUCAUAUGGGGGAAGGGAGAGGGGGAGGCACCCUGAAAUAUUUGUUCUGUUAGGCUUUGGUCUCUGAGAAGUUUAAACCAGAACUAAUAAGUUUUACAGCUUUGUUUCCCUCACAGCACUAUAUUUAAGCCUUUUACAACCAUGCAGAAAGACAGCCAUCUCCAAGAGAGACAUUUUGAAUUUCAGAGAGGAUUUGGCUAACCAUCACAAGUGCAAGACAUCAUGAAAAUUUCUGGAACUACUUUCUGAAGCUUUACAUCCAUAGAGAUUCUUCUGCCUCCAAACAGAUGCUUGUAAAAAGGAAACUGGAGUUACAAUUUGGUUGGAUGAAAGGUCAAGAUGUUUUAGUGCCUGAAGUAGCACUGGAUAGCACUUGAGUAUCCUGCUAUGUUACCAGUUAAGGCAAGAAUUAGAUUCUCGAUCUCCAGCGUUCAGCUGUAAUGAAGAAGUGCAUGUUUCUUCUCCAGAAAUAACUGAAAAUAAUUGCACAAAUCUGAUUGUGUUUUGCUCUGAACUAGUGUCGUGGUAGGCCUAAAUAGGCCAAAAUAGGCUUAGACAUGUCCUGGCUUGCCAGGCACAUUUUCAUGCUCUCCCUCCUUCUGCUAUGGGGAGAAGCAACCAUGGGAAAGAGGACGAAGAACCUGGAACCACUGAGUCUAAGGGCUGUGGCUUGCCCAGACUUGUUUUGCUUCUGUUUACAUCCUGUGUUGAACAAGGCAGAUACACCUGGCUUGUGUCUGGCUUGUGCAAGGCCUGUGUUUUCCUAAAUUUGGGUAAAGCAAGCCUAUGGUUUCACCUAAUAUGGUCAAGCUUGGAUAACUGCCAUUCUGAUUGGCUAAUUUGUGUCCAAAAGCCCAUUAGUCUUGGGCUGUACUGAUAAAAAGAGAUGAGCAGGUAACACAAUGUGCUCUGCCGUUGUAUUUGUGCCCGCUGCCACCAAUGCUCCCUGCCUCUGGCAGUGAUUCUGCCAUUGCCUCCUGCAGCGUUAUGCUUAGCUAUAAGUAGUUCUGCUGAACUGCCUAGAAACUGCUGGCUUUGAGUUUACCAGGAAACAGCUUUAAAUGCCUCCAUGCAAUCAGCCUGCAUAGCCAGCAUGACAUUGUGCUGAGACCACACAUCCCAAGACAUCCUGCCUAUACCUGAAAGUCUCCUGCCAAGAUGGGAAGUCCUGAAGGUACACAGAUCACCCAGAGGAGACAGGAUAAAGUCAGAGAUUGUCUGCCUCCUUUCCUCAGCACCCUGAGAAGCCUGGGAAGAAUCAGAAGCCUCAGCAGCUCACAAGACAUUGACAGAACCCUCUGCAAGCAUUUGGGUACUGUUUGAAGCUGUAGCUAGUCCCAGGGAAUCGAGAGACUAAUAUUUUGUGAGUAAACACUUGAAACCUCUUGUAAUUCACUAAUUGCCUUCUGCCAUAAGCAGAAAAGUGCCUCUCAAGUCCCCUGGUGGGAAAGAGGUAUAAUUGAAACUAAGAACCUCUUUCCAGUAUACUGUUUGCAUUUGCUAGUUAUUUCUUAAAAUGUUCUAGUUUUGCCUGUUGCCUGUGUGUGUAAGUAUCCAACCCAUGUGUUCUGAACCUCGUAAAUAAGUUUUCUGGUGAGAUUUAAUGUUAAUAAACAGUUUCAUAGUAAUUAACAAUCUUUGCCUGGAUAUCAAAAUUAAUAUUGAUUAUUAAUGUUGUGUAGUUUGUAACACCUAGCUUCCUAGUUUCACAAACUCGUGGGGAGGCUGCAGUUGGCCAGUAGCCCCAGGGGAAUCAUACACAGUAGCGAAGCUAAAGCAAUGAACAUAUUUUGUCUCAAUCACAUCCUCUGUAAAGGAAUAUGGAAGAUACACAGGAGUUUAGGAGCACACGUAUUUUCCCUGGCUUACAGGCUUUUGUUGUUGUUGUUGUUGUUCUGCUGCUGAGGUACAAACACUCAAUAAAUGGUUAAACUGAGGCCUCAUAAUUAAUCUCUGUCCUCUUUCAACUGGCAUUUCUUUAUGUCAAUUCAAAAGUCCCCUUCAAAAGUUUGCCUACAUCCAAAAAGAGAGCUUAAUAAAGCAAAUAGACUCUUGAAUAAUUUUGCUUAAUCCAAGUAGAGAGGUUUACAAGAAGCUACGCUAUGAAGUAGAUGUUUGCCUUGAAUGGUAACACUUUCAAAUCAGUUUAACAAGACAGUUGCUAGCUGAACCCCUGAUGUUCCUAUGACACAAAAGUUGUAUUUGUAACACAUGAUAACUUACUCUGCUUAGGAGAACUAGCAUCCUGGAUCCAGCUUUAAGAGUGAAAUUCAUCUGUUGAUACAAAGGAACCAAGAAAUCUCAGAAAGCAUUCCUUUCCUGCUAUAAUUUGGCAGUUGCAGAGAGGGUUGACAG